rnacentral:rRNA from 1 species
ACUCCUACGGGAGGCAGCAGUGAGGAAUAUUGGUCAAUGGGUGCAAGCCUGAACCAGCCAUCCCGCGUGAAGGACGACUGCCCUAUGGGGUUGUAAACUUCUUUUGUAUAGGGAUAAACCUACCCUCGUGAGGGUAGCUGAAGGUACUAUACGAAUAAGCACCGGCUAACUCCGUGCCAGCAGCCGCGGUAAUACGGAGGGUGCAAGCGUUAUCCGGAUUUAUUGGGUUUAAAGGGUCCGUAGGCGGACUUAUAAGUCAGUGGUGAAAGCCUGUCGCUUAACGAUAGAACUGCCAUUGAUACUGUAAGUCUUGAGUAUAUUUGAGGUAGCUGGAAUAAGUAGUGUAGCGGUGAAAUGCAUAGAUAUUACUUAGAACACCAAUUGCGAAGGCAGGUUACCAAGAUAUAACUGACGCUGAGGGACGAAAGCGUGGGAGCGAACAGGAUUAGAUACCCUGGUAGGUCAGUC